CCUGCCACUCAAGACAUUUUAUGAUUUUGCCCCUUCUUACCUGUAGAGGGUCAACUAUUAAUGCUUUUAUACAAUUCUUUCUUUUAGUAUCUGCAGAGCCUAAUGAAAUGAUUGGAAUAUAAUAGACCCAGUUUUUAUCAUCAUCUGUGGACUCCUUGCUGCCCUGACUCACCCACUGGACUGAACCUUCCCAGGCACUAACCAGUGUCGUUAAUUCACUUCCAUUUGCCACUGACUCUAUGAGUCAAGGAAACUUAUUUUAAACUAUCUACAGCCUUUAAUAAUUAAGUACUCCUGUGAUCAAAAUUUGGAGCACAUUUGUUUCUCUCUGCCUAGUUCCUCUAGAAUUUGUAAACUAUCUGUGGGUGGCCAUUCGUCUUCAGUGUGUACCCCUUCCAAAUGCAUCCUGAACUGCUGGGACUUCUUUGAAAAGCACCUUCUUUUCCCUGUCUCCUCCUCAGUCCUCUCUUCAGUUAGGCCAUCAAACUCCAAACAAUCAUGCAACCAGAGCCUCUAAUGAUGGCCCCUUCUGCCAGGAACCUUUAAAUUUCCUCUGAGGGAGCUCUGACUGUUGUUUCUCAACAACUGCACCCCCUGUCAGCAGGAAGCAGUUAAGAUCAUCUUCCUCCUUACCUUGAAUCUACCAGCGGUUACAUGU